UACGUAGGGUGCGAGCGUUAAUCGGAAUUACUGGGAGUAAAGCGUGCGCAGGCGGUUUCAUAAGUCUGUCGUGAAAUCCCCGGGCUUAACCUGGGAAUGGCGAUGGAGACUGCGAGGCUAGAGUUUGGCAGAGGGGGGUAGAAUUCCACGUGUAGCAGUGAAAUGCGUAGAGAUGUGGAGGAACACCGAUGGCGAAGGCAGCCCCCUGGGUCAAAACUGACGCUCAUGCACGAAAGCGUGGGGAGCAAACAGG
rnacentral:rRNA from 1 species